rnacentral:tRNA from 1 species
GCGGCUAUGGUGUAGUGGUAGUCACAGGAGCUUGUGGAGCUCUUAGCACGGGUUCGAUCCCCGUUAGCCGCC